ACUACACUUAUUGCCUUUUUGCCCACCCUCAUCUUGGAGUACUGCAUCUUCAUGUCGGCUGCUUUUCAUGUCUGGCUACGAGGUUGCUCAUGUGAUUAGGUUUGAUCCAUGUUAGGCUUUAGGUUGUAUCAGUGAAUUAGUGUCGACAGUUAGGAGUGAAACUUUUUUUAGCUGUUGAUACGCGGGAGUUAUGGGAUUCUCAUUUCAACACAAUGUAAUCUUGUGUCAAUCCAGCCUAUGCUUGUAGAGUUACUGAGUCACAUGAGCACAUCGAAUGCCUUUGAGGCUUUGAAAUUCUACCGACGAGUAGAUGCAGAACUACAAGAAGCGAGUGGGUAACAGGCUAUUUUUCAAGA
rnacentral:pre_miRNA from 1 species